AUGAACGCUGGCGGCGUGCCUAAUACAUGCAAGUCGAGCGAACGGACGAGAAGCUUGCUUUUCUGAUGUUAGCGGCGGACGGGUGAGUAACACGUGGAUAACCUACCUAUAAGACUGGGAUAACUUCGGGAAACCGGAGCUAAUACCGGAUAAUAUUUUGAACCGCAUGGUUCAAAAGUGAAAGACGGUCUUGCUGUCACUUAUAGGUGGAUCCGCGCUGCAUUAGCUAGUUGGUAAGGUAACGGCUUACCAAGGCAACGAUGCAUAGCCGACCUGAGAGGGUGAUCGGCCACACUGGAACUGAGACACGGUCCAGACUCCUACGGGAGGCAGCAGUAGGGAAUCUUCCGCAAUGGGCGAAAGCCUGACGGAGCAACGCCGCGUGAGUGAUGAAGGUCUUCGGAUCGUAAAACUCUGUUAUUAGGGAAGAACAUAUGUGUAAGUAACUGUGCACAUCUUGACGGUACCUAAUCAGAAAGCCACGGCUAACUACGUG
rnacentral:rRNA from 1 species